rnacentral:rRNA from 1 species
AUACAGAGGGUGCGAGCGUUAAUCGGAAUUACUGGGCGUAAAGCGCGCGUAGGCGGCUACUUAAGUCAGAUGUGAAAUCCCCGAGCUCAACCUGGGAACUGCAUCUGAUACUGGGUAGCUAGAGUUUAGGAGAGGGAAGUAGAAUUUCAGGUGUAGCGGUGAAAUGCAUAGAGAUCUGAAGGAAUACCAGUGGCGAAGGCGGCUUCCUGGCCUAAAACUGACGCUGAGGUGCGAAAGCGUGGGUAGCAAACGGGAUUAGAAACCCCGGUAGUCC